rnacentral:rRNA from 2 species
GAUGAACGCUGGCGGCGUGCUUAACACAUGCAAGUCGAACGAAGCAACUUAUCACGAUCCCUUCGGGGUGACGAUUUGUUGACUGAGUGGCGGACGGGUGAGUAACGCGUGGGUAACCUGCCUUGUACAGGGGGACAACAGUUGGAAACGACUGCUAAUACCGCAUAAGCGCACAGUUUCGCAUGAAACAGUGUGAAAAGUUUUUUCGGUACAAGAUGGACCCGCGUCUGAUUAGCUAGUUGGUGAGGUAACGGCCCACCAAGGCGACGAUCAGUAGCCGACCUGAGAGGGUGACCGGCCACAUUGGGACUGAGACACGGCCCAAACUCCUACGGGAGGCAGCAGUGGGGAAUAUUGCACAAUGGGCGAAAGCCUGAUGCAGCGACGCCGCGUGAGCGAAGAAGUAUUUCGGUAUGUAAAGCUCUAUCAGCAGGGAAGAUAAUGACGUAC